rnacentral:rRNA from 1 species
GUCUUUUUGAGUUUUAAUAUAAAGUCUGGUCUGCCCACUGAUUUAAUUUAAUGGCCGCAGUAUCCUAACUGUGCAAAGGUAGCAUAAUAAUUAGUCUUUUAAUUGGGGGCUUGAAUGAAUGAUCGGACAAGGCAUAAUCUGUCUCAGUAAAAAGAAUUGAAUUUUAUUUUUUAGUCAAAAAGCUAAAGUUUUUUUAAAAGACGAGAAGACCCUAUAGAUCUUUAUAUUCUAUUUUAUGGCUUUUUUUUGGUUUAUUUUUGGGGGUUUUAUUAUGGUUUAUUUUGUUGGGGUGAUAUUAAAAUUUAAUUAACUUUUAUUUUUAUUUGACCAUAUAUUUAUGUUUUUUUGAUCCUUUAUUAUUGAUUAAAAAUUUAAGUUACCUUAGGGAUAACAGCGUAAUUAUUUUGGAGAGUUCGUAUCGAUAAAAUAGAUUGCGACCUCGAUGUUGGAUUAAGAUUAAUUUUGGGCGCAGCUGUCUAGAGUAUUAAGUCUGUUCGACUUUUAAUUUCUU